ACGAACGCUGGCGGCAGGCUUAACACAUGCAAGUCGAACGAAGGCUUCGGCCUUAGUGGCGGACGGGUGAGUAACGCGUGGGAAUUUGCCUCAUGGUACGGAAUAACUCCGGGAAACCGGCGCUAAUACCGUAUAAGCCCUACGGGGGAAAGAUUUAUCGCCAUGAGAUGAGCCCGCGUCCGAUUAGCUAGUUGGUAGGGUAAUGGCCUACCAAGGCGAUGAUCGGUAGCUGGUCUGAGAGGAUGAUCAGCCACACUGGGACUGAGACACGGCCCAGACUCCUACGGGAGGCAGCAGUGGGGAAUAUUGGACAAUGGGCGCAAGCCUGAUCCAGCCAUGCCGCGUGAGUGAUGAAGGCCUUAGGGUUGUAAAGCUCUUUCGGCGGGGAAGAUAAUGACGGUACCCGCAGAAGAAGCCCCGGCUAACUCCGU
rnacentral:rRNA from 1 species